GGUUCGGUGGUCUAACGGUAUGACGCCUACUAGAUAAGGCUACAUGCUGCGAAGUGAAAAGCAGGGCUGAGGCAUGAGGUGGAGAGUCUGGGUUCAAGUCCCAGCCGAACCA